GGUUUGGGUGGGAAAUGGGUUGUGUCCCAUGUUAACCUAAAUCAUGUUUUCCUCUUUACAUUCCAGAGUCAUACUUGAGGCCAGGCUCGAAUCCUGCCUUCCUUUGGUGGCUCUGAGAUUCAGGGCUGGCUUUUCUGAGAAUACCCAAGUGAGGUGCCUUGGGAUGUCCCUGACUUGGAGACACAGAGGAGGCUGGGCACCCCUUUUCCCCGACUCACUGAGCCAGAUAUUGUGAGCCCUGGAGGACACAAAUUACAGCUUAGGGGCCUGGAGCAUGAUUCUGGAGCCAGGCUUCCUGGGCUGGAGUCCAUGCCCUGCCCACGGUGGCUGGCGAUGCUUUGGGGAUCCUCUCGGAGCCUCGGUUUCCUCUUCGAAAGAGUGGUUGUGCAGAGUGAGAGAGCAUCUUCCUGUGGACGAUUCAGCUGGUGUCUCAGCCCACAGUGAGUGAAGAACCAGGGGGUCUCACAGAGCCCUGACUCAGGCCUGGGGGGACCCCUACCUCCAAGCAAUUCUACCCACCCCCCACCCGCCGCUGCUUCUUGCCUCUUCUAGAAGAGAGGAGGGUGGCGGUACGGCUGGAGGGGGAAGAAAAUCUGUUUCCCAAAGCCUCCGGGUGACUCAGCCAGAGAGAGACCAAGGGCGCUCAGUAGCCCCGCCUGCCACUCCAUCUGGUGGCCUCAGGACAGACAGGCGGCUUGGGCUUUCAGCUUCCUCACCUGGGCAGUGCAGGUGAGAGCACCCCACUUCCCACUCCAUGGGCAGGUAACACCUUCCUGCUCUGAAAAAGGGAAAACAUCUCCACCUUCCCCAGAGGCUGCACGGCCAGAGGUCACAGUGAGGCGGCCACAAGCCCCGGGCUCUCGCUCUGAGGGGACACUGUCCCAACAAGAGGCCCCUCACAGUCUGGCCUGACCCUGGCUCUGUGGCCCCUCCUUCUCCUGAUCAGGCCCCUCCCAGGUCUACCAGGAACUCUGGCUGCCCCCUGACCCCACUGCUGCAGCCCCAACCCUAGGUCUGCACAAAGACUUCGGGACGUCCAGUGAGCCCCUGGGUCCUGGACCCCUCUUCCUCCUCCAGCCCCUCCUCUCCCAGCUGCUCCUGGCUGCCCUUUAACUGCUCAGAGCCGUUCAGCAACCUGGCAUGUAGCUGGUACAUAAGUGGUUGUUGGUUGGAGUCGAGUGAGUGAGGAGGAGAUGCUAGAAAAAGCGAAAGGUGCCAUGGUGCCAGCAGGGAGCAGGUGCUGGGGUGUGAGUGCUGCGGAAUGAAUGUGUCCUGGGAUGCUGGGAGCAGGUGUGGGGUGUGAGUGCCACUGAACGAAUG
rnacentral:lncRNA from 1 species